AGGGUUUGAUCCUGGCUCAGGAUGAACGCUGGCGGCGUGCUUAACACAUGCAAGUCGAACGAACCUUCGGGUUAGUGGCGGACGGGUGAGUAACGCGUGAGAAUCUGCCCUCAGGAGGGGGAUAACGGUUGGAAACGACCGCUAAUACCCCAUAUGCCUACUGGUGAAACGAAUUUCGCCUGAGGAUGAGCUCGCGUCUGAUUAGCUAGUUGGUGAGGUAAUGGCUCACCAAGGCUUCGAUCAGUAGCUGGUCUGAGAGGAUGAUCAGCCACACUGGGACUGAGACACGGCCCAGACUCCUACGGGAGGCAGCAGUGGGGAAUUUUCCGCAAUGGGCGAAAGCCUGACGGAGCAACGCCGCGUGAGGGACGAAGGCCUCUGGGCUGUAAACCUCUUUUCUCAAGGAAGAAGAUAUGACGGUACUUGAGGAAUAAGCCACGGCUAAUUCCGUGCCAGCAGCCGCGGUAAUACGGGAGUGGCAAGCGUUAUCCGGAAUUAUUGGGCGUAAAGCGUCCGCAGGCGGCUUUUCAAGUCUGCUGUUAAAACGUGGAGCUUAACUCCAUCAUGGCAGUGGAAACUGAAAGGCUUGAGUAUGGUAGGGGCAGAGGGAAUUCCCGGUGUAGCGGUGAAAUGCGUAGAUAUCGGGAAGAACACCAGUGGCGAAGGCGCUCUGCUGGGCCAUUACUGACGCUCAUGGACGAAAGCCAGGGGAGCGAAAGGGAUUAGAUACCCCUGUAGUCCUGGCCGUAAACGAUGAACACUAGGUGUCGGGGGAAUCGACCCCUUCGGUGUCGUAGCUAACGCGUUAAGUGUUCCGCCUGGGGAGUACGCACGCAAGUGUGAAACUCAAGGAAUUGACGGGGCCCGCACAAGCGGUGGAGUAUGUGGUUUAAUUCGAUGCACGCGAAGAACCUUACCAGGGUUUGACAUCCUGCGAACCUCUUAGAAAUUUGAGGGUGCCUUCGGGAAUGCAGUGACAGGUGGUGCAUGGCUGUCGUCAGCUCGUGUCGUGAGAUGUUGGGUUAAGUCCCGCAACGAGCGCAACCCACGUUUUUAGUUGCCAGCAUUUAGUUGGGCACUCUAGAAAGACCGCCGGUGAUAAACCGGAGGAAGGUGUGGAUGACGUCAAGUCAUCAUGCCCCUUACACCCUGGGCUACACACGUACUACAAUGCUACGGACAAAGGGCAGCAAACUCGCGAGAGCUAGCAAAUCCCAUAAACCGUGGCUCAGUUCAGAUCGUAGGCUGCAACUCGCCUACGUGAAGUAGGAAUCGCUAGUAAUCGCAGGUCAGCAUACUGCGGUGAAUACGUUCCCGGGCCUUGUACACACCGCCCGUCACACCAUGGAAGUUGGCCAUGCCCGAAGUCGUUACUCCAACCCUUGUGGAGGAGGACGCCGAAGGUGGGGCUAAUGACUGGGGUGAAGUCGUAACAAGGUAACCGUA
rnacentral:rRNA from 1 species